rnacentral:rRNA from 1 species
GAUGAACGCUGGCGGCGUGCCUAAUACAUGCAAGUCGAGCGAACGGACGAGAAGCUUGCUUUUCUGGUGUUAGCGGCGGACGGGUGAGUAACACGUGGAUAACCUACCUAUAAGACUGGGAUAACUUCGGGAAACCGGAGCUAAUACCGGAUAAUAUUUUGAACCGCAUGGUUCAAAAGUGAAAGACGGUCUUGCUGUCACUUAUAGAUGGAUCCGCGCUGCAUUAGCUAGUUGGUAAGGUAACGGCUUACCAAGGCAACGAUGCAUAGCCGACCUGAGAGGGUGAUCGGCCACACUGGAACUGAGACACGGUCCAGACUCCUACGAGAGGCAGCAGUAGGGAAUCUUCCGCAAUGGGCGAAAGCCUGACGGAGCAACGCCGCGUGAGUGAUGAAGGUCUUCGGAUCGUAAAACUCUGUUAUUAGGGAAGAACAUAUGUGUAAGUAACUGUGCACAUCUUGACGGUACCUAAUCAGAAAGCCACGGCUAACUACGUG